AUGGGGUCUGGCCUUGGAACCACAGCCCGUGGUCUGCACCUGCCCACCCAGGGACUAGUGCUCUUCCCACUGGAGGCCGACUUCAGGACCACCCGACACAGCCUCGCCAGCUUCCCUUCCACCCUCGGCCUCCCAUCCUCAUAGAUCUAGCAUACAGUGGCUCAACUCAACUUGUGCCUCAGUCACAAGCCUCACGGUCAUUGAGAUUGCAGGAAAUAACAGACCAAUCCUGACAUUGAUGCUGCCAGUGCCAUGAUGCUUUUGAAUACUCCCCCUGAGAUACAAGCAGGUUUUCCUCCAGGAGUGAUCCAAAAUGGAGCGCGGGUCCUGAGCCGAGGGC
rnacentral:lncRNA from 1 species